rnacentral:rRNA from 1 species
GAUGAACGCUGGCGGCGUGCCUAAUACAUGCAAGUCGAGCGAAGCGGGGACGGGUGAGUAACACGUGGAUAACCCCCUAUAAGCCAGGGAUAACUUCGGGAAACCGGUUCUAAACCGGACAUUUAUAGAUUGACUCGCGCUGCAUCAGCGAGUUGGUGAGGUAACGGCUAACCAAGGCAACGAUGCAUAGCCGACCUGAGAGGGUGAUCGGCCACACUGGAACUGAGACACGGUCCAGACUCCUACGGGAGGCAGCAGUAGGGAAUCUUCCGCAAUGGACGAAAGCCGGACGGAGCAACGCCGCGUGAGUGAUGAAGGUCUUCGGAUCGUAAAACUCUGUUAUUAGGGAAGCGGUACCUAAUCAGAAAGCCACGGCUAACUACGUGCCAGCAGCCGCGGUAAUUC